rnacentral:rRNA from 1 species
GACGAACGCUGGCGGCGUGCUUAACACAUGCAAGUCGAACGGAAAGGCUCCAGCUUGCUGGAGUACUCGAGUGGCGAACGGGUGAGUAACACGUGGGUAAUCUGCCCUGCACUCUGGGAUAAGCCUGGGAAACUGGGUCUAAUACUGGAUAUGACCUUUCUCCUUAUGGGGUUUGGUGGAAAGUUUUUCGGUGUAGGAUGAGCCCGCGGCCUAUCAGCUUGUUGGUGGGGUGAUGGCCUACCAAGGCGACGACGGGUAGCCGGCCUGAGAGGGUGAUCGGCCACAUGGGGACUGAGAUACGGCCAAGCCUCCUACGGGAGGCAGGAGGGGGGAAUAUGGCACAGGGGGCGGAAGCUGGAGGCGGCGACGCCGGGGGGGGGAUGACGGCUUUCGGGUUGAAAACCUCUUCCGGCGGGGAGGAAGCGUAAGUGACGGAACCUGAAGAAGAAGCACCGGCAAACUAUGUG